rnacentral:rRNA from 1 species
GAUGAACGCGGCGGCGUGCCUAACACAUGCAAGUCGAACGAAGGUAUAUAUAGGAAGUCUUCGGAUGGAAUAUGUAUAACUUAGUGGCGGACGGGUGAGUAACGCGUAAGUAAUCAACCUGUGACACACGGAUAACUGAUAGAAAUGUCAGCUAAUACGAGAUGAACUGUUUAAAUUGGGAAAUGGAAACAGCAAAGCGAAAGCGGUCACAGACGAGCUUGCGUCUGAUUAGCUGGUUGGUGGGGUAAGAGCCUACCAAGGCGACGAUCAGUAGCCGGCCUGAGAGGGUGAACGGCCACAUUGGAACUGAGACACGGUCCAAACUCCUACGGGAGGCAGCAGUGGGGGAUAUUGCACAAUGGGGGGAACCCUGAUGCAGCAACGCCGCGUGAGUGAAGAAGGCCUUAGGGUCGUAAAGCUCUGUCGUAUGGGAAGAAACAAA